CCGGAUUACCAAACCUUCUCAAACUCCGAAUACCCAGAAGUUAUGCGUGGCAGACACACGGCGGGUGCUAACGUCCGUCGUGGAGAGGGAAACAACCCUGACCGCCGAUUAAGGUCCCCAAGUUAUGGCUAAGUGGGAAAGGAAGUGGAAAUCCCAAAACAACCAGGAUGUUGGCUUAGAAGCAGCCAUCAUUUAAAGAAAGCGUAACAGCUCACUGGUCUAAAUAAGGGUUUCUGCGCCGAAAAUGUAACGGGGCUAAAGCCAUACACCGAAGUCGCGGGCUCGCAAGAGCGGUAGCAGAGCGUUCCGCAAGUCAGUGAAGGGAUACCCGCGAGGGAUCCUGGAGAUACCGGAAGUGCGAAUGUUGACAUGAGUAACGAUAAAGGGGGUGAGAGACCCCCUCGCCGAAAGUCCAAGGGUUCCUGCGCAAUGCUAAUCAGCGCAGGGUUAGCCGGCCCCUAAGGCGAGGCCGAAAGGCGUAGUCGAUGGGAACCAGGUUAAUAUUCCUGGGCC
rnacentral:rRNA from 1 species